rnacentral:rRNA from 1 species
AGUGAACGCUGGCGGUAGGCCUAACACAUGCAAGUCGAACGGCAGCACAGUAAGAGCUUGCUCUUACGGGUGGCGAGUGGCGGACGGGUGAGGAAUACAUCGGAAUCUACUUUUUCGUGGGGGAUAACGUAGGGAAACUUACGCUAAUACCGCAUACGACCUACGGGGGAAAGCAGGGGAUCUUCGGACCUUGCGCGAUUGAAUGAGCCGAUGUCGGGUUAGCUAGUUGGCGGGGUAAAGGCCUACCAAGGCGACGAUCCGUAGCUGGUGUGAGAGGAUGGUAGGCCACACUGGAAGUGAGCCACGGUCCAGACUCCUACGAGAGGCAGCAGUGUGGUAUAUUGGACAAUGGGCGCAAGCCUGAUCCAGCCAUACCGCGUGGGUGAAGAAGGCCUUCGGGUUGUAAAGCCCUUUUGUUGGGAAAGAAAAGCAGCAGGUUAAGACCCCGCUGUUCUGACGGUACCCAAAGAAUAAGCACCGGCUAACUUCGUG